GGGAAGCUUACCAUGCAGUCGAACGAUGAUGCCCAGCUUGCUGGGCGGAUUAGUGGCGAACGGGUGAGUAAUACGUGAGUAACCUGCCCUUGACUCUGGGAUAAGCCUGGGAAACUGGGUCUAAUACUGGAUACUACCUCUUACCGCAUGGUGGGUGGUGGAAAGGGUUUUACUGGUUUUGGAUGGGCUCACGGCCUAUCAGCUUGUUGGUGGGGUAAUGGCUCACCAAGGCGACGACGGGUAGCCGGCCUGAGAGGGUGACCGGCCACACUGGGACUGAGACACGGCCCAGACUCCUACGGGAGGCAGCAGUGGGGAAUAUUGCACAAUGGGCGGAAGCCUGAUGCAGCGACGCCGCGUGAGGGAUGACGGCCUUCGGGUUGUAAACCUCUUUCAGUAGGGAAGAAGCGAGAGUGACGGUACCUGCAGAAGAAGCGCCGGCUAACUACGUGCCAGCAGCCGCGGUAAUACGUAGGGCGCAAGCGUUGUCCGGAAUUAUUGGGCGUAAAGAGCUCGUAGGCGGUUUGUCGCGUCUGCUGUGAAAGCCCGGGGCUCAACCCCGGGUCUGCAGUGGGUACGGGCAGACUAGAGUGCAGUAGGGGAGACUGGAAUUCCUGGUGUAGCGGUGAAAUGCGCAGAUAUCAGGAGGAACACCGAUGGCGAAGGCAGGUCUCUGGGCUGUUACUGACGCUGAGGAGCGAAAGCAUGGGGAGCGAACAGGAUUAGAUACCCUGGUAGUCCAUGCCGUAAACGUUGGGCACUAGGUGUGGGGGACAUUCCACGUUUUCCGCGCCGUAGCUAACGCAUUAAGUGCCCCGCCUGGGGAGUACGGCCGCAAGGCUAAAACUCAAAGGAAUUGACGGGGGCCCGCACAAGCGGCGGAGCAUGCGGAUUAAUUCGAUGCAACGCGAAGAACCUUACCAAGGCUUGACAUUCACCGGACCGCCCCAGAGAUGGGGUUUCCCUUCGGGGCUGGUGGACAGGUGGUGCAUGGUUGUCGUCAGCUCGUGUCGUGAGAUGUUGGGUUAAGUCCCGCAACGAGCGCAACCCUCGUUCUAUGUUGCCAGCACGUGAUGGUGGGGACUCAUAGGAAACUGCCGGGGUCAACUCGGAGGAAAGUUGGGGAUGACGUCAAAUCAUCAUGCCCCUUAUGUCUUGGGCUUCACGCAUGCUACAAUGGCCGGU
rnacentral:rRNA from 1 species